rnacentral:rRNA from 1 species
GUUAUAGGGUCAAGUGAAUAAGUGCAUAUGGUGGAUGCCUUGGCGAUUACAGGCGAUGAAGGACGUGAUAGCCUGCGAAAAGCUUCGGGGAGCUGGCAAAUAAGCUUUGAUCCGGAGAUGUCCGAAUGGGGAAACCCACCCGCAAGGGUAACCGCUCCUGAAUAUAUAGGGAGAUGGUGGCGAACCGAGUGAACUGAAACAUCUAAGUAGCUCGAGGAAAAGAAAUCAACCGAGAUUCCGUAAGUAGUGGCGAGCGAACAUGGAAUAGCCUGUUAUUUUUAGCAGAUGCGAUAGUAGAACGGAAUGGAAAGUCCGACCGUAGUGGGUGAUAGUCCCGUAUACGAAAUCCCGUCUGUGGAACUAGGGUAACGAAAAGUAGGGCGGGGCACGAGAAACCUUGUCUGAACAUGGGGGGACCAUCCUCCAAGGCUAAAUACUCGUAAUCGACCGAUAGUGAACAAGUACCGUGAGGGAAAGGCGAAAAGAACCCCGGGAGGGGAGUGAAAUAGAUCCUGAAACCGUAUGCAUACAAACAGUGGGAGCGGACUUGUUCCGUGACUGCGUACCUUUUGUAUAAUGGGUCAGCGACUUACAUUCAGUGGCAAGCUUAACCGAUAGGGGAGGCGUAGAGAAAUCGAGUCCGAAUAGGGCGAAUUAGUCGCUGGGUGUAGACCCGAAACCAAGUGAUCUAUCCAUGGCCAGGAUGAAGGUGCCGUAACAGGUACUGGAGGUCCGAACCCACAAAUGUUGAAAAAUUUGGGGAUGAGCUGUGGAUAGGGGUGAAAGGCUAAACAAACUUGGAGAUAGCUGGUUCUCUCCGAAAACUAUUUAGGUAGUGCCUCGUAUAUCAUUCUCGGGGGUAGAGCACUGUUAUGGCUAGGGGGUUCAUAAGAACUUACCAAACCAUUGCAAACUCCGAAUACUGAGAAAUGCAAUUACGGGAGACAGACCAUGGGUGCUAACGUCCGUGGUCAAGAGGGAAACAACCCAGACCGACAGCUAAGGUCCCAAAUGACGUGCUAAGUGGAAAACGAAGUGGGAAGGCAUAGACAGCCAGGAUGUUGGCUUAGAAGCAGCCAUCAUUUAAAGAAAGCGUAAUAGCUCACUGGUCGAGUCGUCCUGCGCGGAAGAUGUAACGGGGCUAAGCACGUAACCGAAGCUUCGGAUGCCCUAAUUUAUUAGGUGCAUGGUAGGAGAGCGUUCUGUAGGCCUGCGAAGGUGUUCUGUGAGGAAUGCUGGAGGUAUCAGAAGUGCGAAUGCUGACAUGAGUAGCGAUAAAGGGAGUGAAAAGCUCCCUCGCCGAAAGCCCAAGGUUUCCUGCGCAACGUUCAUCGGCGCAGGGUGAGUCGGCCCCUAAGGUGAGGCAGAGAUGCGUAGCUGAUGGGAAACAGGUUAAUAUUCCUGUACCUCUAUACAAUGCGAUGUGGGGACGGAGAAGGUUAGGUCAGCCGGGUGUUGGAUGUCCCGGUUCAAGCGUGUAGGUUGGUUCUUUAGGCAAAUCCGGAGAGCUAAGACUGAGACGUGAUAACGAGCGUACUUGUACGUGAAGUGAUUGAUACCAUGCUUCCAAGAAAAGCCACUAAGCUUCAGUUGUAUAAGACCGUACCGCAAACCGACACAGGUGGGCAGGAUGAGAAUUCUAAGGCGCUUGAGAGAACCCGGGAGAAGGAACUCGGCAAAUUAGCACCGUAACUUCGGGAGAAGGUGCGCCCCGGUAACGUGUAGAGACUUGCUCUUGAAGCGUGAUGGGGUUGCAGUGAAAAGGUGGCUGCGACUGUUUAAUAAAAACACAGCACUCUGCAAACACGAAAGUGGACGUAUAGGGUGUGACGCCUGCCCGGUGCUGGAAGAUUAAAUGAUGGGGUGCAAGCUCUUGAUUGAAGUCCCAGUAAACGGCGGCCGUAACUAUAACGGUCCUAAGGUAGCGAAAUUCCUUGUCGGGUAAGUUCCG